rnacentral:sRNA from 1 species
GCUGGGUGCGAUGGCGCACACCUGUAAUCCCAGUGGCUCUGGAGGCUGAGGUAGGAGAAUCGCAAACAACUUAAGGCCUUAAGCAACUCAAGGAGAUCCUUUCUCAA